GCAUUCUCACCCUCUGAAAAGCUGAAAGGCUUUAACAUCUGGAGACGCGCCUGCAGCUGUGCAGAUUAAUGUAGUUUCUUUUAGGAAAUGAAGGGGCAGUUUUCCUGUUGUGAGCCUAAAUACCGAGUCUACUCUGCUUUUUCAAUCAGGUGAUGAAGCUUAUGGAAAAAAAGACCAAAGGCCUCGAGGCUCCCUGUUUUCCUUCGGUCGCCGUGGGUAUGCUGGACACCUCUCACAUGACUAACCCUGUGGCUUUUAUGUUCAAUGUGCUGUGUGCCUGCAGUAUCCUGUCCAAGACCAAGCUACCUUUCCUCAUGGG